CUACCACACACCCGGCAAAACUGGUAUGAAAUUGGAAUAAUGUGCAAAGAAGAUUAGUAUGGCCCUUGUACAAAGAUGAUAUACAAAUUUAUGAAGGAUAUAUAUAUCUAU
rnacentral:snRNA from 1 species